GUCCAGGGGCGGGAAUCGAACCCACAACCUUCUGCUUACCGGGCAGGUGCCAUGUCCACUGGGCUACCCUUGA